rnacentral:rRNA from 1 species
UAGUCUGGUGCCAGCAGCCGCGGUAAUUCCAGCUUCAAUAGCGUAUAUUAAAGUUGUUGCAGUUAAAACGCUCGUAGUCGGAUUUCGGGGCAGGUUUGCCGGUCUGCCGAUGGGUAUGCACUGGUAGAACUGUCCUUCCUUCCGGAGACGGCGCCUACUCUUAACUGAGCGGGUGUCGGAGACGGAUCGUUUACUUUGAAAAAAUCAGAGUGUUUCAAGCAGGCAGCUCGCUUUUGCAUGGAUUAGCAUGGGAUAAUGAAAUAGGACUUUGGUGCUAUUUUGUUGGUUUCGAACACCGAAGUAAUGAUUAACAGGGACAGUCAGGGGCACUCGUAUUCCGCCGAGAGAGGUGAAAUUCUUAGACCAGCGGAAGACGAACCACUGCGAAAGCAUUUGCCAGGGAUGUUUUCACUGAUCAAGAACGAAAGUUAGGGGAUCGAAGACGAUCAGAUACCGUCGUAGUCUUAACCAUAAACCAUGCCGACUAGGGAUUGGAGGAUGUUCCUAUGUGACUCCUUCAGCACCUUUCGGGAAACUAAAGUCUUUGGGUUCCGGGGGGAGUAUGGUCGCAAGGCUGAAACUUAAAGGAAUUGACGGAAGGGCACCACCAGGAGUGGAGCCUGCGGCUUAAUUUGACUCAACACGGGGAAACUUACCAGGUCCAGACAUUGUGAGGAUUGACAGAUUGAGAGCUCUUUCUUGAUUCGAUGGGUGGUGGUGCAUGGCCGUUCUU